GGAUCCCAGACCCUGGGCCGCGGGCAUGGGGAAACAGCGGGCCUGGAGGAGACUGGCCAGGGAGGGAGGAAGGAAGGAGCCAGGACCCCAAGGCUCCCUGCGCUUUGUUUGGAGAGAACGCCGACAGAUUAAAUUUUCAUGUAAAAGAUACCCUCCCUACAACAAAAGGAUUAACAUCCUUAUCCUCAAGGACCAGAAGUCAAGACUGAAAGAAUUCUGUGCAGCCUUGUUAAAAUAAUUUCUUUUAAGCCUCACCCACGCCCAGCUGGACCUCAAAAGAAUUGAGAUGGAGUUUUGCUGCCCUUACAGUGUCAAAGACUGUCCUCCAUCAGACACAGGUCAUCUCACAAUGCCUGGAGAUGUCAACUGGGGAUCUCUGGUUAGACAAUUUAAAAAAAGUGUGAUCACCAUUCCACAGCUGACCUGAUUAGCUCCACUGGGGCAAGUUAUGUGGCAUUUCUCAUUUUACCUGGCUAAGACUUAUUUUAAUUCUGGAUUUAUUAAAAGGAAUUUCAUUCACAUAAUUCAUAUAUAUAUUAAAAUAAAAACAAACUCAAAAUAACUGGCCCAUGGCUCGGGGCCCAUAGCACAGUGGUUAUGGCACCAGCCACAUGCCCCGAGGCUGGCGGGUUGGAGCUUGGCCCAGGCCAGCUAAACAACAAUGACAACUGCAACAAAAAAAUAGCCAGGUGUUGUGGCGGGCACCUGUAGUCUCAGCUACUUGGGAGGCUGAGGCAAGAGAAUUGCUUAAGCCCAAGAGUUUGACGUUGCUGUGAGGUGUGACACCACAGUAUUCUACCAAGGGUAGACUCUGUCUCCAAAAAAAUAAAAAAUGGCACAUGUUGUGUGAUUACUCAGCUAAUACAUUUACUCAUAAAAUUAGGCCUGACAUGGUAGCUCAUGCCCAUAAUCCCAGUACUUUAUAAGAUCCAGGUGGGAAGAUCACAAGAGUUCAAGAUCAGCCUGGGCAACACAGUGAAACCUGGUCUUUACAAGAAAUUAAAAAAUUAACUCAGCGUGGUGGUGCAUAGCUGAGUUAGCUUCUCAGGAGGCUAAGGCAGUAAGAUUAUUUGAGCCCAGGAGUUUGAGGUUGCAGUGAGCUAUGAUGAUGCCACUGUACUCUAGUCUGGACAACAGAGUGAAACCCCAUCUCAAAAAAAAAAAUAAAAUAAGAGAUGACCUCCCCACCCCUUUCUUAAUAAGUAACCUGCUUCAGCUAAACAUCAAUUUGAAAGUGUAAAACAUUUCAAAAAACUGUGUGCAUGUUUCUCCUAAAAGGAAAGAACAGUUGUAGGAAAAGGAAUUUUUCAAAAUAACAUUUGAAGUCUGUGAACCACUGAACUCAUUGUGGUCUUGCUGUUGAUCUGUAAAGUGGAAGUUACUACUUCACGUUGUUGCAAACCUCAAACAGACAAUGUAUGUAUAAAAUGUAAGAUGUCUAGGUAGUGAAGAGGUGCAUUAUUUGAAUAUUGAAGAUUUUUUUUUUUAGACAGUCUCUGUCGCCCUAAGUAGAGGGCCAUGGUGUCAUUGUAGCUCACAGCAACCUCAAACCCUGGGCUCAAGAGAUCCUCCUGCUUCAGCCUACUGUAGUAGCUAAAAGUACAGGCGUGUACCACCACACCUGGCUCAUUUUUCUAUUUUUAGUAGAGAUGGGGGUCUCACUCAUGCUAAGGCUGGUAUUGAACUCCUGAACUCAAACAAUCCACCCACCUCGGCCUCCUAGAGUGGUAGGAUUACAGGAUGAGCCACUGUGCCUGGCCUGACUAUUUUUAAUAUUCUACCUGACUAGUUUUCUUUUUGAGUCCAUUUUAUUUCCAUAUUUAAAACA